UCUUAUCUUCCUCUCCUUCUUCUCUUCCAGCUGCAGCUGCCAUCGCCGCAGCCGCAGCAGCCCCUUCUUCCCCUUCUCUUCUUCCUCUCCUUCCCUUCUUCCUUCCUCUUCCUCUUUCCCUGCCUCAGCCGCAGCUGCCACAGCCGCAGCCGCAGUUGCUUCUUUCCCUUCUCCUCUUCCUUCUCCUUCUUCUUUCUCCUUCCAUUCUUCUUCUUCUCUUCUUCCUCACCUUCUCUUCCUCUCCUUCUCUUCCAGCUACAGCUGCCACCGCC
rnacentral:lncRNA from 1 species